rnacentral:rRNA from 1 species
GAUGAACGCUGGCGGCGUGCCUAAUAUAUGCAAGUCGAGCGAAAAGAUGAGGAGCUUGCUCCUCUGACGUUAGCGGCGGACGGGUGAGUAACACGUGGAUAACCUACCUCUAAGACUGGGAUAAAUUCGGGAAACGGGAGCUAAUACCGGAUAAUAUAUUGAACCGCAUGGUUCAAUAGUGGAAGACGGUUUUGCUGGCACUUAUAGAUGGAUCCGCGCCGGAUUAGCUAGUUGGUAGGGUAACGGCUUACAAAGGCAACGAUGCGUAGCCGACCUGAGAGGGUGGUCGACCACACUAGAGCGGAGACACGGUCCAGACUCCUACGGGAGGCAGCAGUAGGGAAUCUUCCGCGAUGGGCGAAAGCCUGACGGAGCAACGCCGCGUGAGUGAUGAAGGUCUUCGGAUCGUAAAACUCUGUUAUUAGGGGAGAACAAAUGUGUAAGUAACUAUGCACGUCUUGACGGUACCUAAUCAGAAAGCCACGGCUAACUACGUG